UACGGGGGAGCAAGCGUUGUUCGGAUUUACUGGCGUAAAGGGCGCGUAGGCGGUCAGCACAAGUCAGUUGUGAAAUCUCCGGGCUUAACCCGGAAAGGUCAACUGAUACUGUGCGACUAGAGUGCGGAAGGGGCAACUGGAAUUCUCGGUGUAGCGGUGAAAUGCGCAGAUAUCAGGAGGAACACCAAUGGCGAAGGCAGCUCGCUGGAACGGUACUGACGCUGAGGCGCGAAAGCGUGGGGAGCGAACAGG
rnacentral:rRNA from 1 species